rnacentral:rRNA from 1 species
UACGUAGGGUGCGAGCGUUGUCCGGAAUUAUUGGGCGUAAAGAGCUCGUAGGCGGUGUGUCGCGUCGGCCGUGAAAACCUGGGGCUCAACUCUGGGCGUGCGGUCGAUACGGGCAUCACUUGAGUUCGGCAGGGGAGACUGGAAUUCCUGGUGUAGCGGUGAAAUGCGCAGAUAUCAGGAGGAACACCAGUGGCGAAGGCGGUGCUCUGGGCCGGUACUGACGCUGAGGAGCGAAAGCGUGGGGAGCGAACAGG